rnacentral:rRNA from 1 species
AUUGAACGCUGGCGGCAGGCCUAACACAUGCAAGUCGAGCGGAGCGGCGGACGGGUGAGUAAUGCCUAGGACUCUGCCUGGUAGUGGGGGAUAACGUCCGGCCACGGGCGCUAAUAACUCAUCCUAUCCGAUGAGCCUAGUUCGGAUUAGCUCUUUCGUGGGGGAAAGGCCUACCAAGGCGACGAUCCGUAACUGGUCUGAGAGGAUGAUCAGUCACACUGGAACUGAGACACGGUCCAGACUCCUACGGGAGGCAGCAGUGGGGAAUAUUGGACAAUGGGCGAAAGCCUGAUCCAGCCAUGCCGCGUGUGUGAAGAAGGGCGUCGGAUUGUAAAGCACUUUAAGCUGGGAGGCGUUACCAACAGAAUAAGCACCGGCUAACUUCGUGCCAGCAGCCGCGGUAAUAC